rnacentral:tRNA from 1 species
ACUGGCUUAGUAUAUGUAGUAGUAUGUGGGAUUGUAGCUCCUUAGGAAGUUUGUCUAGCUAGGA